CCAUAAUAUUACAUUUGGGCCGAGUUUUAAACGUAAACAUUCACAAGUUAGGGUAAAAUAUUUGUAAAUUCAAGACCAUAGCUAGCCUUUUAGCUCUUCACGAUUCACGGCACGCAUAUUAGUCACGAUUCACGGAAUGGUAUUUCUUUAAAUCACGAGACGGGAAACUCGUCUCAGACGGGGAACUCGUCUAAUAUGAAUCCGGGCGCAGACGAGUUUCCCGUCCGAACUUUCCCGUCUAACUUAC